GACGGAGGGUGCAAGCGUUAUCCGGAUUCACUGGGUUUAAAGGGUGUGUAGGCGGGCUAUUAAGUCAGUGGUGAAAUCUCCGGGCUCAACCCGGAAACUGCCAUUGAUACUAUUAGUCUUGAAUAUCGUUGAGGUUGGCGGAAUAUAUCAUGUAGCGGUGAAAUGCAUAGAUAUGAUAUAGAACACCGAUUGCGAAGGCAGCUAACUAAGCGAUGAUUGACGCUGAGGAACGAAAGCGUGGGGAUCAAACAGG
rnacentral:rRNA from 1 species